UACAGAGGAGCCAAGCGUUGUCCGGAUUGACUGGGCGUAAAGCGCACGCAGGCGGAUGCGCGCGUGGGGUGUGAAAUCUGGCCGCUUAACGGCCAGGCGCCAUCCCAUACGGCGCGUCUGGAGUGAUGCAGAGGUCGGUGGAAUUCCGGGUGGAGCGGUGAAAUGCGUAGAGAUCCGGAGGAACACCAGGGGCGAAUGCGGCCGACUGGGCACAUGCUGACGCUGAGGUGCGAGAGCGUGGGGAGCGAACCGG
rnacentral:rRNA from 1 species